rnacentral:rRNA from 1 species
AGAAGCUUGCUUCUAUGACGUUAGCGGCGGACGGGUGAGUAACACGUGGGCAACCUGCCUGUAAGACUGGGAUAACUUCGGGAAACCGAAGCUAAUACCGGAUAGGAUCUUCUCCUUCAUGGGAGAUGAUUGAAAGAUGGUUUCGGCUAUCACUUACAGAUGGGCCCGCGGUGCAUUAGCUAGUUGGUGAGGUAACGGCUCACCAAGGCAACGAUGCAUAGCCGACCUGAGAGGGUGAUCGGCCACACUGGGACUGAGACACGGCCCAGACUCCUACGGGAGGCAGCAGUAGGGAAUCUUCCGCAAUGGACGAAAGUCUGACGGAGCAACGCCGCGUGAGUGAUGAAGGCUUUCGGGUCGUAAAACUCUGUUGUUAGGGAAGAACAAGUACAAGAGUAACUGCUUGUACCUUGACGGUACCUAACCAGAAAGCCACGGCUAACUACGUGCCAGCAGCCGCGGUAAUACGUAGGUGGCAAGCGUUAUCCGGAAUUAUUGGGCGUAAAGCGCGCGCAGGCGGUUUCUUAAGUCUGAUGUGAAAGCCCACGGCUCAACCGUGGAGGGUCAUUGGAAACUGGGGAACUUGAGUGC